rnacentral:rRNA from 1 species
UUUAUGGAGAGUUUGAUCCUGGCUCAGGAUGAACGCUGGCGGCGUGCCUAAUACAUGCAAGUCGAGCGAACGGACGAGAAGCUUGCUUCUCUGAUGUUAGCGGCGGACGGGUGAGUAACACGUGGAUAACCUACCUAUAAGACUGGGAUAACUUCGGGAAACCGGAGCUAAUACCGGAUAAUAUUUUAAACCGCAUGGUUCAAAAGUGAAAGACGGUCUUGCUGUCACUUAUAGAUGGAUCCGCGCUGCAUUAGCUAGUUGGUAAGGUAACGGCUUACCAAGGCAACGAUGCAUAGCCGACCUGAGAGGGUGAUCGGCCACACUGGAACUGAGACACGGUCCAGACUCCUACGGGAGGCAGCAGUAGGGAAUCUUCCGCAAUGGGCGAAAGCCUGACGGAGCAACGCCGCGUGAGUGAUGAAGGUCUUCGGAUCGUAAAACUCUGUUAUU